rnacentral:sRNA from 1 species
GAUGCUGGUGACGUUGUGUACACAGAGACUUUGGACAUUCCCGAUGACGCUUUAUUCUUAAGGAGAUUCUAUUACAAACUCUUCCCCCAAUUAGUCACAUUAGGUUCCCUCUCUGAUUUUGACCAAGUGGUUCUUCAAAAGAGAAGCCAAGUCCAAGAUUCCUUUCAAAUUGCAGAAAGAGCAACCUAUGAAGUUGGACGUACAACUCGCUUGAACAACAUUCAGUUUGUUGAGUAUUGUUGUCGUAAAAAUAGAACGACAACAAGUCUGGUAAUGAAACCAGUUUGUAGUCAUGAUAAAGUUAUAUAUAGAUAUAGAAGAUAUAGAAAUAGAUAUUGGCGUAGCCAGGAGGCGGGUUCGGUAAUUCAAACCUUAUCCCCCCCCAUGAAAUGAAAUUUUUUGACUGUUUUUAUUUUAUUCCAGGGAAGAUUUGAAUGUUAUCACAGUGUUGCCGAUGGGGGCUUGAGAAAAUCUUCUUUUCAAUCAAAUGUAAAGCAGAUUACAUUCAACGAAUUCCAUAAGCGCAGCCUAAGAGAUUUUUAGUUUAACCCUCUUCAAUUAAAAAAUUCAUUAAGCAAACGACAGUCACCAAAUUUCAUUUGCAUAGCUAAGGAGGGUU